rnacentral:piRNA from 1 species
UCAAGGAUUAUCUGUGUCCGUUAUGG